rnacentral:tRNA from 1 species
GGGAGUGUGGCUCAGUGGUAGAGCGCUCACCUAGCACGUGCGAGGCCCUGGGUUUGAUCCUUAGCACCACA